CACGAGGAAGUAAUAAGUGUACGCAGGACCGACUUGUUGGCUUUCUUUUACUUUGUCAUUUGGUCAGGAAAAGGAAAUCUGCUCAGAGCAGGGUGUAAUCAGUGGAGUCAAAGUCAUAUGUUGACAUGUAUGAAUAGAAUGCUGGAGGGAACUACCUGAGCAGCCAGAAUGCACUGCGUGCAUUGUGUUAUGACAUAUUAUGACAGGGCAUACAAAUUCAUCUUCCUGUACAGCUUUUGUCUUACUCUGAUAGCACGAAAUGUGUUAAUGCAAGUGAAUGCCCAAGAUUCCAUUCACGACCUGUACAAAAGAGAUGACGGGAUGUACAGCUGGUGUCUCUUCUGUCUUAAUGAGGACCUUCAACAAUCAAAAGAUUUUCAACAACAGUGUGUUGACCAAAACCCUACAUUUUCUAAAAAUGAUGUUCUAUGGUGCUAUGUCAGAGGAAAACCUCCAAGUAA